rnacentral:rRNA from 1 species
CACACCGCCCGUCGCACCAUGGGAGUUUGUUGCACCAGAAGCAGGUAGCUUAACCGCAAGGGGGGCGCUUGCCACGGUGUGGCCGAUGACUGGGGUG